AUGUCAAGCCUCCGCGUCCUCCGCCGCAGCUCCACCUCCACCUCCACCUCCACCUCGCCGCCCUCGCGCUCCUGGUCUCCCACCGCAGCCUUUGCCGCGGCCACAGAGCGUGUCCGCGCCGGGACGCUCAGCCAAGAUGAUGCACACCACCUGUUCGACGAAUUGCUGCGGCAGGUCACCCCGGUCCCCGAGCGCCCCCUCAACGGCUUCCUCGCCGCCCUCGCACGUGCUACGUCCUCUGCCGCCUGCAUCAGAGAUGGUCCCGCCCUCGACGUCGCCCUCUUCAACCGCGUGUGCCGAGAACAAGCCGGCCCGCGGGUGGCGCCUCUCACAGUCCACACGUACAACAUCCUCAUGGACUGCUGCUGCCGCGCGUCUCGCCCGGACCUAGGUCUUGCCUUCUUCGCUCGCCUCCUCAGGACAGGCCUGAAGACAGAUGAGAUCACCGCCAACACCUUCCUCAAGUGCCUCUGCUACGCAAAACGGACGGAUGAGGCUGUGAACGUGCUGCUUCAUAGGAUGUCCGAGCUUGGCUGUGUGCCUAAUGCCUUCUCAUACUCCAUUGUUCUGAAGAGCUUAUGCGACAAUAGCAUGAGUCAGCGGGCGCUCGACCUGCUCCAGAUGAUGGCGAAAGAAGGAGGUGCCUGCUCCCCCAACGUGGUGGCAUAUAGCACGGUCAUCCAUGGCUUCUUAGGAAGGCGAAACAGGCAAGGCAUGCAAUCUGUUCCAUGA
rnacentral:rRNA from 1 species